AUUCCUCGAUCUGGCCUUUUGGCUAAGAUCAAGCACAGUAUCUGUUCUUAUCAGUUUAAUAUCUGAUAUGUCCUUUAUUUGAGGACUGUAUAUUAAAUUGAUUUUUGAAACGGGGGGAUGGACUAGGAGCUUGCUCUGUCCACCCCACGCAUUGACACUUGGCCUCUCUC
rnacentral:snRNA from 1 species